AUGUCCCUUUUUUCUAUGUUUCACAUCUACUAUCCGUGUGUGUUUCACCAUAGUCUUAACAUGUUAUUAGGACGAAGCUCCACCAGGACGCACCAUGAGGAGGAGAUGGCUUGGAAGCCUAGAUCUAUAAAGCCAAAACCCUCUCACUUGGAUGACCACCACACCAAUGAUCUUCUGUGCUGCGAAGCAACCUGCAUCGAACUUCAUGAGAUUGUAAGUAACUGCAGGGCCAGUGGUUCAGCUUGGAUGCCAUCUCCUAAGAAACAAGAAAGAAACCCUGAUGCUUUCCUUGGCUCCAUCCACAAGCGGCAGCCGGCCAACCUGCCGCUUUCCAUCCAUGAUAUCCCGCAUGCUCCAAGAAGAUGA
rnacentral:rRNA from 1 species